AGCAGCCGCGGUAAUUCCAGCUCCAAUAGCGUAUAUUAAAGUUGUUGCAGUUAAAAAGCUCGUAGUUGAAUUUCGGGAUCAAGUCGUCGGUCGUGCUCAGGUACGUACUGGCGUCAUUGAUUUCUCCCUUCUGACGAACCAUGAUGUCAUUAAUUUGGUGUUAUGGGAAAUCAGGACUGUUACUUUGAAAAAAAUUAGAGUGUUUAAAGCAGGCUCACGCUUGAAUACAUUAGCAUGGAAUAAUGAAAUAGGACGUUCGAUCCUAUUUUGUUGGUUUUAGGAUCAACGUAAUGAUUAAUAGGGAUAGUUGGGGGCAUUAGUAUUCAAUUGUCAGAGGUGAAAUUCUUGGAUUUAUUGAAGACUAACUACUGCGAAAGCAUUUGCCAAGGAUGUUUUCAUUAAUCAAGAACGAAAGUUAGGGGAUCGAAGACGAUCAGAUACCGUCGUAGUCUUAACCAUAAACUAUGCCGACUAGGGAUCGGAUGAUGUUAAUUUUUUAAUGACUCAUUCGGCGCCUUAC
rnacentral:rRNA from 1 species